rnacentral:rRNA from 1 species
UACCAGACUCCUACGGGAGGCAGCAGUGAGGAAUAUUGGUCAAUGGCCGGAAGGCUGAACCAGCCAAGCCGCGUGAAGGACGAAGGUGCCAAGCAUUGUAAACUUCUUUUGUCAAGGGACAAAAUCAGGCUCGAGAGCCUGACCGAGGGUACUUGAAGAAAAAGCAUCGGCUAACUCCGUGCCAGCAGCCGCGGUAAUACGGAGGAUGCGAGCGUUAUCCGGAUUUAUUGGGUUUAAAGGGUGCGUAGGCGGAGUGUUAGGUCGGGGGUAAAAGCCGGGGGCUCAACCCCGGCGAGCCGUUGAAACUGCAUCCCUUGAGUGCGCGAGAAGUAUGCGGAAUGCGUGGUGUAGCGGUGAAAUGCAUAGAUAUCACGCAGAACUCCGAUUGCGAAGGCAGCAUACCGGCGCGCAACUGACGCUCAUGCACGAAAGCGUGGGUAUCGAACAGGAUUAGAUACCCCAGUA